ACUGCUCAGUAACACGUGGACAACCUACCCUUAGGCCUGGGAUAAACCUGGGAAACUGGGUAUAAUACCGGAUAGUCCUCGGCUGCUGGAAUGCAUCGAGGAUGAAAGCUCCGACGCCUAAGGAUGGGUCUGCGGCCUAUCAGGGUAGUAGUGGGUGUAAUGUACCUACUAGCCUACGACGGGUACGGGUUGUGAGAGCAAGAGCCCGGAGAUGGAUUCUGAGACACGAAUCCAGGCCCUACGGGGUGCAGCAGGCGCGAAAACUUUACAAUGCUGGAAACAGCGAUAGGGGGACCUCGAGUGCCAGGAUACAAUCCUGGCUGUCGUCUUGUCUAAAAAACAGGAUAUAGCAAGGGCCGGGCAAGACCGGUGCCAGCCGCCGCGGUAACACCGGCGGCUCGAGUGGUAACCGCUAUUAUUGGGUCUAAAGGGUCUGUAGCCGGCUGAAAAAGUCUCUUGGGAAAUCUGGCUGCUCAACAGUCAGGCGUUCAGGAGAUACUCUUCGGCUCGAGACCGGGAGAGGUGAGAGGUACUUCAUGGGUAGGGGUGAAAUCUUGUAAUCCUUGAAGGACCACCAGUGGCGAAGGCGUCUCACCAGAACGGAUCUGACGGCAAGGGACGAAAGCUAGGGGCACGAACCGGAUUAGAUACCCGGGUAGUCCUAGCCGUAAACGAUACUCGCUAGGUGUCGGCCACGGUGCGACCGUGGUCGGUGCCGUAGGGAAGCCGUGAAGCGAGCCACCUGGGAAGUACGGCCGCAAGGCUGAAACUUAAAGGAAUUGGCGGGGGAG
rnacentral:rRNA from 1 species